UACGUAGGUGGCAAGCGUUAUCCGGAAUUAUUGGGCGUAAAGCGCGCGCAGGUGGUUUCUUAAGUCUGAUGUGAAAGCCCACGGCUCAACCGUGGAGGGUCAUUGGAAACUGGGAGACUUGAGUGCAGAAGAGGAAAGUGGAAUUCCAUGUGUAGCGGUGAAAUGCGUAGAGAUAUGGAGGAACACCAGUGGCGAAGGCGACUUCUGGUCUGUAACUGACACUGAGGCGCGAAAGCGUGGGGAAGCAAACAGG
rnacentral:rRNA from 1 species